GACGAACGCUGGCGGCGUGCCUAAUACAUGCAAGUAGAACGCUGAAGGAGGAGCUUGCUUCUCUGGAUGAGUUGCGAACGGGUGAGUAACGCGUAGGUAACCUGCCUGGUAGCGGGGGAUAACUAUUGGAAACGAUAGCUAAUACCGCAUAAUAGUAGAUGUUGCAUGACAUUUGCUUAAAAGGUGCAAUUGCAUCACUACCAGAUGGACCUGCGUUGUAUUAGCUAGUUGGUGAGGUAACGGCUCACCUAGGCAACGAUACAUAGCCGACCUGAGAGGGUGAUCGGCCACACUGGGACUGAGACACGGCCCAGACUCCUACGGGAGGCAGCAGUAGGGAAUCUUCGGCAAUGGACGGAAGUCUGACCGAGCAACGCCGCGUGAGUGAAGAAGGUUUUCGGAUCGUAAAGCUCUGUUGUAAGAGAAGAACGAGUGUGAGAGUGGAAAGUUCACACUGUGACGGUAUCUUACCAGAAAGGGACGGCUAACUACGUG
rnacentral:rRNA from 1 species